GGGGCUGACUGGUUUUGACAGCGUGUAGAAGUGGUGAGCAAGCAUGCAGAGCGAUGAUGCCCACGCUCUUUAAUCAGAGACAUCAAAAUUUUAAAUGGCGAAAACAACUACGCUCUCGCUGCUUAAUCGAAGUACAGUAAAUUAAGCUUUAUCCGCGCCAAAGUGGCGCAGACGAGACAUCGCCCGAUUGUCAAUCUUCCUUGGACUAAUCGAUAUGGCGGUGCAGCUAAACAAGGAAUAGGGUGCCGACAGUUCCGGAAAGUAUCCGAAAGUUUAGGAACUAAGCGCUGUGUUGGCAGUCUAUAGCCUGCCCGGCGACGAAAACCAACAGUAGACUAAGCAUGUAGAAACCUCAUUAGUUCCGCGUUUGGACGAGGGUUCAACCCCCUCCAGCUCCACU
rnacentral:tmRNA from 1 species